GCCGGUGCUUGAUGAUAGAUCCGGGGAAGGAGUUUCCCGAACCGGGCGGUGCCCGUGCAUUGCAAGGCGCGGCGCCGUUUACAUA
rfam:Clostridium sp. CAG:43 genomic scaffold, scf288